CGUCCACAUCACGUUAAAAUACCCGUUCUCGUAAGAUCACCCAAGUUAAACAACGUCGAGCCUGAUCAAUACCUGGAUGGGUGACCGCUAGGGAAUACCAGAUGAUGAA